rnacentral:rRNA from 1 species
CCUACGGGAGGCAGCAGUGGGGAAUAUUGGACAAUGGGCGAAAGCCUGAUCCAGCCAUGCCGCGUGUGUGAAGAAGGUCUUCGGAUUGUAAAGCACUUUAAGUUGGGAGGAAGGGCAGUAAGCUAAUACCUUGCUGUUUGACGUACCGACAGAAUAGCCCCGACCCGACC